rnacentral:rRNA from 1 species
AAUGGCCGCAGUAUUUUGACUGUGCAAAGGUAGCAUAAUCAUUAGUUUCUUAAUUAGAAACUGGAAUGAAUGGUUGGACGAGAAAAUAUCUGUCUCUUUUUUAAUUUAUUAGAAUUUUAUUUUUAAGUUAAAAAGCUUAAAUUUAUUUAAAAGACGAGAAGACCCUAUAGAAUUUUAUAUAUUUAAAUUUAAAUAGUUUUAUUAGUAUUUUUAAAAUUUUAGGUUAAAUAUAUUUAGUUGGGGUGAUUAAAAAAUUUAAUAAACUUUUUUUAUAUAAAUACAUUAAUUUAUGAGUUUUUGAUCCAUAUGAAUGAUUAAAAGAUUAAAUUACCUUAGGGAUAACAGCGUUAUUUCUUUGAAGAGUUCAAAUCGAUAAAGAAGUUUGCGACCUCGAUGUUGGAUUAAAAUUUAUUUUUGGUGUAGAAGCUGAAAAAUUGGGUCUGUUCGACCUUUAAAAUUUUACAUGAUCUGAGUUUAAACCGGUGUAAGCCAGGUUGGUUUCUAUCUUUAAAUAAUUAAUAUAUUUUAGUACGAAAGGACCAAAUAUAUGUAAUAGUUAUAAAUAUUUGAAUAUUAUUAAAGAUUUU